rnacentral:rRNA from 1 species
GCCAUGCAUGUCUAAGUAUAAGUAUUAUACAGCGAAACUGCGAAUGGCUCAUUAAAACAGUUAUAGUUUAUUUGAUAAUCGAAUUUACAUGGAUAACCGUGGUAAUUCUAGAGCUAAUACAUGCUGGUGUGCCCGACUUUUGUGGAAGGGCGGUAUUUAUUAGAUAACAAGCCAAUAUUCCUCUGGUCUAUUGUGGUGACUCAUAAUAACUGAUCGAAUCGCAAGGCCUAUGGCCGCGAUAAGUCAUUCAAGUUUCUGCCCCAUCAGCUUUCGAUGGUAGUGUAUUGGACUACCAUGGCGUUUACGGGUAACGGAGGAUUAGGGUUCGAUUCCGGAGAGGGAGCCUGAGAAACGGCUACCACAUCUAAGGAAGGCAGCAGGCGCGUAAAUUACCCAAUCCUGACUCAGGGAGGUAGUGACAAGAAAUAACGGACCGGGGCCUUACGGCUUCGGGAUUGCAAUGAGCCGAAUUUACACCCCUUAGCGAAGAUCGAUUGGAGGGCAAGUCUGGUGCCAGCAGCCGCGGUAAUUCCAGCUCCAAUAGCGUAUAUUAAAGUUGUUGCAGUUAAAAAGCUCGUAGUUGGAUUUCUGGGAGAGUGGCGAUGUCCGCUUAACGUGUGUGCAGCGACGCUCUUCCAUCCUUCUGUUAGCGUCUCUUGGCAUUCAUUUGCUGGUGGCGGGCUCAGAUAUUUUACCUUGAGAAAAAUUAGAGUGUUUCAGGCAGGCUAGGCCGGAAUACAUUAGCAUGGAAUAAUGGAAUAGGACUACGGUCUCUUUGUUGGUUUGAGGGACUGCAGUAAUGAUUAAUAGGGAUAGUUGGGGGCAUUAGUAUUUAAUUGUCAGAGGUGGAAUUCUCAGAUUUGUUAAAGACUAACUUAUGCGAAAGCAUUUGCCAAGGAUGUUUUCAUUAAUCAAGAACGAAAGUUAGGGGAUCAAAGACGAUCAGAUACCGUCCUAGUCUU